rnacentral:lncRNA from 1 species
CUCCUUAAACACCUAUUAUUUUCUACUCCUGAAAGUUUCAAGCAAUUUCCUAGUUCCAAACGGUCAAAGAAGAUCGCCGAAAAUGCUGCCACCACUAUACCUUUGCCGUUAACUAAAAAAAAAUGAGAUAGAUUAAUGCCAAAAUGAUUAGUUUGCGGAGAAAUAGUGGCUAGCCAAGGGAUCGUUCAAAGCUGCAAUGAAGAGAAAGGAGAUGGGCCAGGGAACGGGAAGAAAC